GGUCCGUUGGUCAAGGGGUUAAGACACCGCCUUUUCACGGCGGUAACACGGGAAUCCCGUACGGACUA
rnacentral:tRNA from 1 species